rnacentral:rRNA from 1 species
GCCGUUCAGGGGGUUCAUCGUUAGGGGCGUAAUUUUUUUUAGAGGAAUCCACCCUUUGGGGAGCGCGGGAGGAACAGCUCUCCCCCUCCUUGGGGGGGGUGUGUGGCGCUUCAAAGGGGGGGUGGGGGGGUUGCCCCCUAAAAGCUUUCCCUCCCGAUUGGAUACCCGACACACCGGGGGAUCGCAAGAUGUGCUGGAAAAAAUCCGUCCCAGGCUACACCGUUUUUAGAAAGAGAUUCGCCGCCCUCUUUAAAAACCCCCUUUAAAAAAUUUUUUUUUCCCCCCCCCGACACGCCCGUCGCUACUACCGAUGAAUGCUCAGUGAACCUGGGAUUGCUUAGAGGUUGCAACGACCCCCCAGAGCCGAAAACUUGGUCAAACUCGUCAUUUAGAGAAGUAAAAGUCGUAACAAGUUUCCGUAGUGAACCUGCGAAGGAUCAUUACCGAGUGAGGACCCUCUGGGUCCAACCUCCCACCCGUGUUUAUUUUACCUUGUUGCUUCGGCGGGCCCGCCUUAACUGGCCGCCGGGGGCUCACGCCCCCGGCCCGCGCCCGCCGAAGACACCCUGAACUCGUCGAGAUGUGUCGAGUAAAAUAUAAAUUAUUUAAAACUUUCAACAACGAUCUCUUGUUCCGGCAUGAGAGAACGCAGCGAAAUCGAUACGUAAGUAAUGCAAAUUCAGUGAAUCAUCGAGUCUUUGAACGCACAUUGCGCCCCCUGGUAUUCCGGGGGGCAUGCCUGUCCGAGCGUCAUUGCUGCCCUCAAGCACGGCUUGUGUGUUGGGCCCCGUCCUCCGAUCCCGGGGGACGGGCCCGAAAGGCAGCGGCGGCACCGCGUCCGGUCCUGGAGCGUAGGGGGCUUUUCACCCGCUCUUAGCCCGCCGCGCUUCCGAUCAACCCAAAUUUAUCCAGGUGACCUGGAUGAGGGAGCUCGGGGAA